UGCCCAUUUCCCAUCGGCACCCAAACCUAAAUAGGAUCCUGUACAGAUGAGCGGGAAGGAAGCACCAGGAAUCUCUCCCCGUGUGGACAACAACUUCACGGGCAGGAUCAGUCUUCAGGAACUGUUUUGCAACUCUGGAGUCUACUGAAGACUGGCAGUUCCCAGGAAUUCAAAGACAGACCUGAGCUGAAGCCAGGACAACAGAAAUUAACAAAACAGAAGAAAAAUGAGCAGAACCUGAAAGACCUUGGGGAACACCAUCUAAGGUAUAAAUGAAAGCAGUCUGGCGUUGAUAUGAAAACAGAUGCACAGCUCAGUGGAGCAGAGCAGAGCCCAGAAAUGAACCUGCACUAUCCGCUCGAUUAGUUUUCCAACAAAGGAGAGGGAAAGAACAAUGGGAAGAAGGCAGUCUCUUCAAUA